UCCCUGAUAGCUCAGCGGUAGAGCAAUCGACUGUUAAUCGAUUGGUCGCAGGUUCGAAUCCUGCUCAGGGAG
rfam:Alphaproteobacteria bacterium RIFCSPHIGHO2_02_FTLL_46_13 rifcsphigho2_02_scaffold_323, whole genome shotgun sequence.